rnacentral:rRNA from 1 species
GUGUCAGCCGCCGCGGUAAUACAGAGGUCCCAAGCGUUGUUCGGAUUCACUGGGCGUAAAGGGUGCGUAGGUGGUCGGGUAAGUUUGAUGUGAAAGCUCCGAGCUUAACUCGGAAAUUGCAUUGAAUACUAUUCGGCUAGAGGGUUGGAGGGGGGACUGGAAUUCUCGGUGUAGCAGUGAAAUGCGUAGAUAUCGAGAGGAACACCAGUGGCGAAGGCGAGUCCCUGGACAACUCCUGACACUGAGGCACGAAAGCUAGGGGAGCAAACAGGAUUAGAUACCCUCGUAGUCC